AUGUCGUCUCCGCCUACUUUGCCGGAAGACUGUCCAAUGUCGCCUCCUCAGACUUUGACGAAAAACAAGCUGGUGUCCGACAACGCUCCACAGUUCACUGGAAAUUCGUCGGCCGAUUCUACGCUUGAGUUCUUAUCGAACUGCAGCGGCGGGGAUCGAGCUCCGGCGCACGCGACCCGUCCUCAUGGCAAUAUGGGGCUCGAUGCCGAGCCUCCGCGCCGCGCCUGCACGGAACCGCCGGAAGGACCCAGCGGGUCGCCGUUGCCCUGCAUCGGCUUCACUCGGCCGCCCGUAACGCAUGAGUUCACUCGGCAGCAGCCCGCAGGUGCAGUCCACACCCCACCCCACGCCGUCAUGGCGCUACCAAGAAUCUUGCCGCUGGCUGUCAUAUUCAUGUUUCUUUUGUUUUUCUCAACAUCACUAGCACCGCCAGAAGCCUGUGAAAAUUUAUUGCAAUGUGCAAGUUGGACUCCUAUCAUUGGCGUCGAUCUUUCGAUCAGCAAGUAUCUGAAGGCCGUUGUUAUUACUGAUACAUACUCCAGUCAGCGUUCGCCAAAUAUUGUGUUAAUUAAGGAGGAAAGAAUGGAUGAAGUAGAAGGGUUUCGAGUUCCUCCGGCGGCGCCCCCGCUGAGAGUUAUCCAUCCACGGCGGCGCGACUGCCGUUCGAUCGCACAUCCCCUCCCACUUCACCUCUCCCGUCUGGUUCUGUCCAAGGGGGUUGUGAGGCCGCGGGGGUCCUGUUUCUCCUUUGAGAGAGAGUUAGGUUGUGGAGUUGGGUCAGGAUGGCAUCUCAAGUUGGAGCAGGAGGAUCAAGGCAACGUACUGAACCAGUCGAGGAUUUGUUGGGACGAUUGGAGUUACAGGAGGAGGAGGAGGAGCAGUUCGUAUGGGAAGAAGAGUUCCAAGAAGGGGUUCAGCCCGUCAGCCUUGUGUGCCGACAUGAGAGCUGCAUGGAACCCGGCUAGGGAACCACGCUGGCGCAAGAUUGAAGAUAAUCUUUUUACAGUCCAAUUCGGUUGUCUAGGUGAUUGGAAUACUGCCAUGAAUAUGGGCCCCUGGCUAUUCCGCGAUCAAGGCCUCCUAAUCGCGGAGUAUGAUGGAUUUAUGAAUCCAAAAUCCGUUGUUCUAGACAAGAUAACGGUAUGGGCUAGAAUUUUGAAGCUACCAGAUAACUAUUUGAUCCCGGCGGCCAUCAGAGGGAUGUGUAGGAAGAUGGGCAAAGUAACAGAAAUACAAACUACACUACCAGCUAGUUUUGCAGGGGAAUUUGUCCGAGUUAGAGUGGAGCUCAACGUGGCAAAGAAACUGAUCAGAUUCGUGGGUAUCACGAAGAGCGAGAUCACUGAUUACUACCAAGUGCAAUAUGAGAAACUUCCUAUCUUCUCUGGGAAGUGUGGCAUGAUGGGACAUUGGUACCAGGAGUGUGGUACAGGAGAACAUGAUGUGUCGAAACUAGAAUGGGGUGAUUUCAUGCUUGUGGAUGGUGGAAGAGGCCGUGGUAGGGGCCGUGGUGCUGGCAGAGGCUAUGGACAUGGAAGAGGAGCAUCAACCCAAGAGGCUAACCCUUUUGGUUCAGGGCAAGGAAGAGGACAAGAACAUUUUGGUACUGGAAGAGGAAUGAUGAACAGCUGGCGACACAACGCUUUAUAUAAAAAGGAUGGGAUGCAAGACAUGGAGACAGAUCAAGAAGCUCAAAAUUACCAGAACUCUAGUCAAGAUGCUAGAAAUAAUGUGUUGGGAAAACGAACAGCGGCAGAUUCACAAACAGUACCCACUGUUAUUGGAGCAGAAUUGGCAAUUAUACCUGCAGCUCCAGCAAAGCUUUCGGUUGUGGCCAAUUUAGUAGACCGGAUUGAGGGUGGAGAUAUACCAGAGUUCCAAGUGACAAGUGAGGGCACUCCUCAGAAAAAUGCCAAUAGGAAGAAGCAUAAAGGAAAAGAUGGUGAUGCUGUGGAUAGCUCAAGUGGAGUACAAACUUCAGAGAUAUCGGCGUCCUCCCAAGAGGGGGAUGACCGGACGCAAUGA
rnacentral:rRNA from 1 species